GGGUGUCAUUGACAUAGAAACAAGAAUUGCAUUGAGAGAUGAACCAUUUAAUAUAGUUUAACCCAUAAUGACAUGGUCGACGAUAAAGCCUUGAAAGUGGCAAGAAUAAAUAGAUAGAGACCUAUCGUGAUAUUGGCAUUGUGACUAAUGGCUAUGAGUCCUCAAGUUGAGGAUUAGAUCGAUACUCACCUUUCGUCUUGGCUUGAGGGAGGUCGCUCCCCCUCGAGCGGUGCGCUCCGGAGUUGGUCACCACUGGGCGUGGUAAAGUCCCACCAGUUGACGGUCCCUAGGGAGAUUCGAGUCCCCCGUUAUUAAGGGUUUUGGGUUGUGAGUUAUUGGGGUUAACAGAGUUAACCGGUAAGAUUGGGUAAGAGCCAAAGUUUGUUUAUGAUUGGAGCAUGCAUGCAUUUCCAUUUUCGCAUUGAAAUUGUAUAUCUACUGACUCUUUCUUGCAGGCAUAGUAUUAGUUGCAUUAGUAAUGGUUACUUUCCUUCCUUUUAAAUACUUAUGCCUGGAUAGACCUAGUGGGUAAGUCGGCGAGGUCGGAUGCCGAGCCCACUGGGAACUUCGUUGUAGUUCUCACACCACUAACCCUACAGGUCCUAGCACGAGCGGGGCGGCGGAGGACCGAGGCAAGGGUUUGGCGCCGUAGGUAGCGGCCACCGGGGACUUUAUGCAUUUUGUAGUCAUUCCCUUUUUGUUAUACAUGUAUCAACUUUAUUUUGUUGAUUUAGGUAUGUAAAGUGAAAACAAUCAUGUAUUUGGUGGAUGACUAAAUGUAAAAAGAUAUGAUGGUUGAAUGGAAUGUAAUAUUAUUACUUACUUGAAUUUGGUUCAAAAGAAAUCAAAUAUCACGUGUGUUGUAUAUUUAGCUUAGAGCUUUCGCUUCCGUUGUUGCUUGCCCUCGAGUAAGCCUUGUAUUGUUUAUGCAAUUCUCUUGUUGAUUGCCUAAUUAUAUGUGUCGUUGGAGCCUUGGGCGGACAGGGGAGGCUCUGUCCGUUCGGCGUCUGUUGACGUGACCCAAAUCCGACCAAAUUGGCGGGGAUUGGGGCGUGACAAUUACAUUUACAUUUUACAUUUUACAUCAUCGACAUAAUAGAUGAAAUAUACAAGGGUGCCUCUAUACAUAAAGGUAGCACACUACCUAGAGCACGAUAACCACGCCACGAGCCCCGAUCGCCCCGCUCGCGCUAGAACCUGCAUGGUUAGUGGGAUGAGAACUAGAAGAAGUUCCCAGUGGGUUCGGCCACCGACUGCGCCGAUUCGCCCACUAGGUCUAUUUCAGGCAUAUGUAUUUCAAUAAAGAAGGAUAAGAAACCAACUAAUGCACUUCUAAUACAAUGCCUGCAAGAAAGCAAAUCACAGAUAGAUAUUCAUAUUCAAAUACAUGAUGAUUAUGCAUGCAUGUCCUUUUCACUUUCCUUUAGUCUUUACCCAAUCAACCUGGGGUGCUCCUGGUUUACCCCAACUCACAGUCCACACACUUUCCUUUGGCUUUUACCCAAUCAACCUGGGGUGCUCUUGGUUUACCCCAACUCACAGUCCACAUAUCCCGUCUAACGGGGGAGGCACAAGGCACAACCACCCGAAAGAUCUUCGCCGGGCACGUCCACCCGUGGUGUUUGUUCACUCCGGAGUACACCGCUUGUAGAGGAGCGACCUCCACAAGUCGGAACCAAUACAUGUGAGUAUGAUCCCCUCCUCAAUUUGAGGAGGUGUAGCCAAACCUGUCUCAAUGCCACAAUGCCGAUGAAAGGUCUCUACCUAU
rnacentral:lncRNA from 1 species